CUUCGCAGCGACACACAGGCAUUCGCUGUGCACAAAGGGGCUCUUAGUUUAUGAAUGAGGAGUUUCUAUAAGGUCUCGCUGGAGACUAGCCCUGUUAGAUUUGGUGAACUCCAGGGAGCAAGGUUCAUUUUCUUCUGCCAACAUGCUUUCUGCCAUCUGCUCUGUUCUUGGGAUCUUCUUAAUAUUCAGAGGGACCAAUGGAGACUCAGUGAACCAGACAGAAAGCCCAGUCACUCUCUCAGAGGGGGCAUCUCUGACCCUGAACUGCACCUACCAGACAUAUUCAAGUCCUUUCCUUCUCUGGUAUGUCCAGUAUCUCAAUAAACCUCCUCAACUCCUCCUGAAGAGCUCAACAGAAAACCAGAGGACAGAGAAUCAUUUUCAGGCCACUCUUAUUAUGAGUGACAGCUCCUUCCACCUGAAGAAACCCUCAGUACAGAUGUCAGACUCAGCUGUGUACUACUUCGCUCUGAGAGACACAGUGAGGGGGAUGCAGGGGGAGCUGAGCACAAACCCAGAGGGCGCAGUUGGGGCUGAAGGUGAGCUGGCCUAGGA